rnacentral:rRNA from 1 species
ACACGUAGGGGGCGAGCGUUAUCCGGAUUCAUUGGGCGUAAAGCGCGCGCAGGCGGCGCGCCAAGCGGGACCUCUAAUCCCGGGGCUCAACCCCGGGCCGGGUCCCGAACUGGGCGGCUCGUGUCCGGUAGGGGAGGUCGGAAUUCCCGGUGUAGCGGGGGAAUGCGCAGAUAUCGGGAAGAACACCGAUGGCGAAGGCAGACCUCUGGGCCGCGACAGACGCUGAGGCGCGAAAGCUAGGGGAGCGAACAGGAUUAGAUACCCUGGUAGUCCUAGCCGUAAACGAUGACAGCUAGGUGUGGGGGCAGGCCUUGCCCCCGUGCCGCAGCCAACGCAUUAAGCUGUCCGCCUGGGGAGUACGGCCGCAAGGCUAAAACUCAAAGGAAUUGACGGGG